AGGUGCUAAUACCGGAUAAGAAAGCGGAUCGCAUGAUCAGCUUUAAAAGGCGGCGUAAGCUGUCGCUAUGGGAUGGCCCCGCGGUGCAUUAGCUAGUUGGUAAGGUAAAGGCUUACCAAGGCGAUGAUGCAUAGCCGAGUUGAGAGACUGAUCGGCCACAUUGGGACUGAGACACGGCCCAAACUCCUACGGGAGGCAGCAGGC
rnacentral:rRNA from 1 species